CAAUAGCUCAACUGGAUAGAGUAUCAGACUUCGAAUCUGAGGGUUGCGGGUUCAAUUCCUGCUUG
rnacentral:tRNA from 1 species